rnacentral:rRNA from 1 species
UACGAAGGGGGCUAGCGUUGCUCGGAAUCACUGGGCGUAAAGCGCACGUAGGCGGAUUGCUAAGUCAGGGGUGAAAUCCUGGAGCUCAACUCCAGAACUGCCUUUGAUACUGGCAACCUUGAGUCCGGGAGAGGUGAGUGGAACUGCGAGUGUAGAGGUGAAAUUCGUAGAUAUUCGCAAGAACACCAGUGGCGAAGGCGGCUCACUGGGCCGAUACUGACGCUGAGGCACGAAAGCGUGGGGAGCAAACAGGG